UACGUAGGUGGCAAGCGUUGUCCCGGAUUUACUGGGCGUAAAGAGCGCGCAGGCGGUCGUUCAAGUCGCGUGUGAAAGCCCCCGGCUCAACUGGGGAGGGUCACGCGAUACUGAUCGACUCGAAGGCAGGAGAGGGUAGUGGAAUUCCCGGUGUAGUGGUGAAAUGCGUAGAUAUCGGGAGGAACACCAGUGGCGAAGGCGGCUACCUGGACCGGUACGUGACGCUGAGGCGACGAAAGCUAGGGUAGCAAACGAGGGA
rnacentral:rRNA from 1 species